rnacentral:rRNA from 1 species
CAAUAGCGUAUAUUAAAGUUGUUGCAGUUAAAAAGCUCGUAGUUGGAUUUCUGGGCUCAGUCUUUGGUCCGUCGAAAGAUGUGCACUGACGACUGGGUCCUUUCCUCUCGACGUUCACGGGUGCUCUUAACUGAGUGUUCGUGGGACUCGGGACCUUUACUUUGAAAAAAUUAGAGUGUUCAAAGCAGGCCUUCGCUUGAAUACAUUAGCAUGGAAUAAUGGAAUAGGACUUGGGUUCUAUUUCGUUGGUUUUAGGACCGAAGUAAUGAUUAAUAGGGACAGUUGGGGGCAUUAGUAUUUAAUUGUCAGAGGUGAAAUUCUUAGAUUUAUGAAAGACUAACUACUGCGAAAGCAUUUGCCAAGGAUGUUUUCAUUAA